AGAGAUAGAGUCUUCCCCUUCGGGGGACAAAGUGACAGGUGGUGCAUGGUUGUCGUCAGCUCGUGUCGUGAGAUGUUGGGUUAAGUCCCGCAACGAGCGCAACCCUUAAGCUUAGUUGCCAGCAUUAAGUUGGGCACUCUAAGUUGACUGCCGGUGACAAACCGGAGGAAGGUGGGGAUGACGUCAAAUCAUCAUGCCCCUUAUGAUUUGGGCUACACACGUGCUACAAUGGACAAUACAAAGGGCAGCUAAACCGUGAGGUCAUGCAAAUCCCAUAAAGUUGUUCUCAGUUCGGAUUGUAGUCUGCAACUCGACUACACGAAGCUGGAAUCGCUAGUAAUCGUAGAUCAGCAUGCUACGGUGAAUACGUUCCCGGGUCUUGUACACACCGCCCGUCACACCACGAGAGUCUGUAACACCCGAAGCCGGUGGAGUAACCAUUUAUGGAGCUAGCCGUCGAAGGUGGGACAAAUGAUUGGGGUGAAGUCGUAACAAGGUAGCCGUAUCGGAA
rnacentral:rRNA from 1 species